GUGUUUGCUUCGGCAGCACAUAUGCUAAAAUUGGAAUGAUAAAGAGAAGAUUAGCAUGGCCCUGUGCAAGGACAACACACAAAUUCAUAAAGAUAUGAUGAGCAGGAUGAUUUC
ensembl:snRNA U6 U6 spliceosomal RNA